rnacentral:siRNA from 1 species
UAAACCUGCAUUGAUCGGCA